GCCACGACCUGAGCCGAAGUCAGAUGCUUAACCGACUGAGCCACCCAGGUGCCCCAACAGGUUUGUAGUUUCACCAACAAAGACCUUUUUUUUCUCUUUUUAAUUUACUGUGCUAAUUAGCAGUGUUGGUCAUUGCUUGAGAUGGGGGCGACAGAAACUCUUGGAGCACCUGCCGUUGAGUGUGGCCUUUGCCAGUGGAACGCCAGCUGAGCAUCCCUGAGCCGUGCGUUCUUGAUCGCACACGAACUGACCAUCUCUAGAAUUAAACUAACGGGCACAUCUCUCAUACACCACUGACCAUACUGAAGUAUUUUAAAGUAAAUUACAAGUGUCAUAACUGGCGUUGAGGGAAGAUCAUUGGGAAAGUGGCCUGUGGAAAGACUUGAAGGUGGUGGAGGAGUGAGUGUGCAGCUUUGGGAAGCAUUCAAGGCUGCGAGAGUAGUUAAGUCCGAUAUCCCUGAAGCAGAGUGUGCCUGACCUGUCUGAGGAACAGCAAGGAUCAAGGAAUCCAGUGUGGCUGGAGCCGAGUCAAGGAGGGAGGGAGAGAACAGUAGCGCGUGGUGGCAGAAAGGUGAUAGGGCCGCAUCGCCCGGAACCUUGCAGGCCAUUGUGAGACGGGAGCCGCUGGAGAGUUCUGCGCAGAGCAGUGACGUGAUCUGGCUCAGGUUUUCACGAGACCAAUCAGGUCGUCUUCUUGAAAUAAACUGAUGGGGACGAAGGCCACAGCAAGGUGACCAGCCAGGGACCCAUUGGAACAGGCCGGGCGAGACUGGCCGGAGCAGUGAGAAGUGGUUGGAGUCUGUAUAUACACUGAAGACAGAGCAACAGGGUUUGGUGACAAAUCGGAGGUAGGGUGUGAGAGAAAGAAAGAACUGCAAGUGGACUCAAGGUGUUUGAGCUGAGAAGCCAGAAGGCUGGAGUUGACAUUCACUGAGAUGGCGGGACUGAGCGGGAAGGAGGUGUUGGGGAGGUAGAUCAGGAUUUCUGUUUAACAAGUUUGAAAUGUGGAGUGGAGAUGCGGACUAUUCAGCUGGACACAGGAACUUUACGUUCAAGAGAGAAGGAUAGGCAAGUGUUCUCAAGUUGGAAGUAAUCAACGGAGAGAUGGUCCUUAAGGCCAUCACUCUGGACAAGGGGGUCCAGGGAGUGAGGUAGAAAGUAGACAAAAAAGAGAAGAGGUCCCAGGAUCAAACCCUAAGAGUCCAGCAGUAGGAGGUCAGGAAGAUGAGGAGGACUUAGCCAAGUCUAAGAAGGAGCCACCAAGGAGACGGGAGGAACACCCGAAGAUUGUGUGUCCGGGGAACUGGGGGAGGAAAGUGAGCAAGGAGGAGGCGGUGAUCCACUGUGACGAUGAGGACAGAGAUCGGAGGUUUAACAACACGGAGGUCACCGGUGCCCUCGACGGGACUCCACCUUGGUUGAAAUGGAUGCAAGAGAGAACGGGACGGACGGACAAAGUUGAGGCAGUGAGCAUAAAAACCACCCCUCCGAUCAGUAUUGCCGAAAAGAGCGAGCAAAGAAUGGGAGCAUUUUGAACAUAUAGCAGCUGAAUCCGGAAGUCUUUGCUGAUUGGGUGAAAGGCAAAGGAGGAUACAGAGUUCUUCAAGCUCGGUUCAAGAGGUACCGGUAGGCUCAAGCACAGGACUCCUCCCUUCGGGAUCAAGAAAUUCACCUGGAGCACCCCGGGGAAGCCCCCAGGUCUCAGAAGCACUGCCUCUCUCACUUCGACCGCUGCUUCGGGCUGACGCUUUCAGAUCUUCAUAAAGGCACCGAACAAAGCCAGAUGAUGGACAGCUGUUCAGUGACCCAAGCCGGGGGCGCUGACCAUUCAGCUCCUCAGGAAACCAGAUGCUUGGCUGUGGCUUGGAAGCUGGUUUCACAAGGGGGUAUAAAAUGUGUUCCAGUGUAUUUGUUACGAUGCAGGGAUAAAUAUAUUUCCUUAGAUGACAAGUAUUAAAAACUUGAAGUCUU